ACGCUGGCGGCGUGCCUAAUACAUGCAAGUAGAACGCUGAAGGAGGAGCUUGCUUCUCUGGAUGAGUUGCGAACGGGUGAGUAACGCGUAGGUAACCUGCCUGGUAGCGGGGGAUAACUAUUGGAAACGAUAGCUAAUACCGCAUAAGAGUAGAUGUUGCAUGACAUUUGCUUAAAAGGUGCAAUUGCAUCACUACCAGAUGGACCUGCGUUGUAUUAGCUAGUUGGUGGGGUAACGGCUCACCAAGGCGACGAUACAUAGCCGACCUGAGAGGGUGAUCGGCCACACUGGGACUGAGACACGGCCCAGACUCCUACGGGAGGCAGCAGUAGGGAAUCUUCGGCAAUGGACGGAAGUCUGACCGAGCAACGCCGCGUGAGUGAAGAAGGUUUUCGGAUCGUAAAGCUCUGUUGUAAGAGAAGAACGAGUGUGAGAGUGGAAAGUUCACACUGUGACGGUAUCUUACCAGAAAGGGACGGCUAACUACGUGCCAGCAGCCGCGGUAAUACGUAGGUCCCGAGCGUUGUCCGGAUUUAUUGGGCGUAAAGCGAGCGCAGGCGGUUAGAUAAGUCUGAAGUUAAAGGCUGUGGCUUAACCAUAGUACGCUUUGGAAACUGUUUAACUUGAGUGCAAGAGGGGAGAGUGGAAUUCCAUGUGUAGCGGUGAAAUGCGUAGAUAUAUGGAGGAACACCGGUGGCGAAAGCGGCUCUCUGGCUUGU
rnacentral:rRNA from 1 species